ensembl:misc_RNA Metazoa_SRP Metazoan signal recognition particle RNA
GCCGGGCGCGGUGGCGCACACCUGUAGUCCCAGCCACUUGGGAGGCUGAGACAGGAGGAUUGCUUGAGUCCAGGAGUUCUGGGCUGCAGUGCACUACGCCAAUUGGGUGUUCGCACUAAGUUCGGCAUUAAUAUGGUGACCUCCCGGGAGUGGGGGACCACCAGGUUGCCUAAGGAGGGGUGAACCGGUCCAGGUCGGAAAUGGAGCAGGUAAAAAAUAUAUAAAAUGAAUAAAUUUUUAAAAAUAUAUAAAAUUUAGAGGUCAGAGAGGAGUAUGCGCCAAAGCUCACACAU